rnacentral:rRNA from 1 species
GACGAACGCUGGCGGCGUGCCUAAUACAUGCAAGUCGAACGCUUCUUUUUCCACCGGAGCUUGCUCCACCGGAAAAAGAGGAGUGGCGAACGGGUGAGUAACACGUGGGUAACCUGCCCAUCAGAAGGGGAUAACACUUGGAAACAGGAGCUAAUACCGUAUAACAAUCAAAACCGCAUGGUUUUGAUUUGAAAGGCGCUUUCGGGUGUCGCUGAUGGAUGGACCCGCGGUGCAUUAGCUAGUUGGUGAGGUAACGGCUCACCAAGGCCACGAUGCAUAGCCGACCUAGGAGGGGGAUCGGCCACAUUGGGACUGAGACACGGCCCAAACUCCUACGGGAGGCAGCAGUAGGGAAUCUUCGGCAAUGGACGAAAGUCUGACUGAGCAACGCCGCGUGAGUGAAGAAGGUUUUCGGAUCGUAAAACUCUGUUGUUAGAGAAGAACAAGGAUGAGAGUAACUGUUCAUCCCUUGACGGUAUCUAACCAGAAAGCCACGGCUAACUACGUGCCAGCCGCCGCAGUAA